rnacentral:rRNA from 1 species
CCUACGGGUGGCAGCAGUAGGGAAUCUUGCGCAAUGGGCGAAAGCCUGACGCAGCAACGCCGCGUGAACGAGACGCCCUUCGGGGUGUAAAGUUCUGUCAGUGGGGACGAAAGAUGACGGUACCCACAGAGGAAGCACCGGCUAACUCCGUGCCAGCAGCCGCGGUAAUACGGAGGGUGCAAGCGUUGUCCGGAAUCAUUGGGCGUAAAGAGUUCGUAGGCGGUAUGUUAAGUCUGGUGUUAAAUGCAGAGGCUCAACUUCUGUUCGGCACUGGAUACUGGCAAACUAGAAUGCGGUAGAGGUAAAGGGAAUUCCUGGUGUAGCGGUGAAAUGCUUAGAUAUCAGGAGGAACAUCGGUGGCGUAAGCGCUUUACUGGGCCGUAAUUGACGCUGAGGAACGAAAGCCAGGGUAGCAAAUGGGAUUAGAUACCCCUGUAGUC